GAAACCUUACUUUUCAACAUUUUACCACCUUUCUCAAACUUAACCACAUUUUUAUAAUCUACAUCAAAUAUUUAUUUGAUAUUCAAUCAUAUCUCAACAAUAUAUUGAAUAACAAUAAAACAAUGCAUUAAUUCACAUGCAUACUUAUACAGGGGCAGGAUAUCCCCGGAAUAUCCCGAAAGAGUUUAUACCGGACAGGGAUAUCCCCGGAAUAGCUUAUACAGGGAGGGGUAUCCCCCGUUAUUCGUCGAGUGGAAAAAGGAAAAUCAAAUACAACAGGACAACUAAAAAUCUGUACCGAAUUCAAGCUACACCCAAUAACCCCCAGCCCCAACAAUAUUCUGCCGGGCAAGAAAUAAAAAGAACAACUCACUGAAAAUAAAUGCAGAAGGGCAAAGACAAAAUCAGCUUUAUAAUAUAUUAUAUUUAUCUGAGUGUGUUCCAUACUAUAUAUUUAAAAUAAAUAGGUAAACCCGAAACAAUUGUUGGCUUUGUUUAAAGCCCUCCAUUCAUUAUUUUGACGGAUUAUUAACUUGAAAGCUUCAAAAGCUUGUUUAUUCGAGGUGAUUUCUCCAAAACUCCUGAAAAGGUAUUUUCCCUGAACUCGAAUAAUCCUAAACUGGCCUAUCACAUGCCGGACGCUGUAACAUCAUCAAAACUGAGUGGGACAAGGUAAAUAGAAAACUCUUUACCCUUUUUAAGCAAUGAAGCAGGAGUAUCCCUGGAGUCCGAUGCAUUGUCAAGAACAUAAGAUCUAGCAAUCCCAAGAAAGAUACAGUCUGAGGAUUAUGGGGAGAACCUACAAAGGUGAGAAAAUUUUAAUGAUUAAAAUUUUAAUGAUCAAGAACAUAAGAUCUAGCAAUCCCAGCAAUACUCUGCUGAGCAAGAAAUAAAAAGAUGUGACAAAAACUCACUGAAAAUCAGCUUCAUAAUAUAUUAUAUUUAUCUGAGUGUGUUCUGUAUUAUAUAUUUAAAAUAAAUAGGUAAACCCGAAAAAACUGUUGGCUUUGUUUAAAGCCCUCCAUUCAUUUGUUUAACGGAUUAUUGACUUGAAAGCUUCAAAAGCUUGGUUAUUCGAGGUGAUUUCUCCAAAACUCCUGAAAAGGUCUUUUCCUGAACUAGAAUAAUCCUAAACUGGCCUAUCACAUACCGGACGCUGUAAUAUCAUCAAAACUGAGUGGGACAAGGUAAAUAGAAAACUCUUUACCCUUUUGAGGCAAUGAAACAGGAGUAUCCCUGGAGUCCAAUGCAUUAUCAAGAACAUAAGGAAGAUCUAGCAAUUCCAAGAAAGAUACAGUCUGAGGAUUAUGGGGAGAAACUGCACAAGGUGAGAAAAUUUUAAUAAUUAAAAAGGAAAUCGAGCAAAAUCAAAUUGCAAAACUCAGGACUAUUCUAGUAGCAAAUCUAAAUAAAAAAGAAUGCAGUGUUUUGUAACGACUGUGACAGUAAGUGGCAUAAAUAUGCAAACAUAUAUGGUGAGUUUCUUAAAUCCAAAAGAUAGAACCAUUAAUGGAGAUACUUUUUGCACCUCAAAGAAGGAAAAGCAUCAAAAUAUCACCAUAUUAUUUACCAGAAAAAGUAGCGUUUGAAACUGAAUCAGAGGGUUUGUGAGGUGGAGCUGUUUGAGAAAAUUCACAAGGUUUGGCUUUUCUGUCCCAUUGACGACAAUCUUGCAUGUCGAGCUGUG
rnacentral:lncRNA from 1 species